UACAGAGGGCGCGAGCGUUGUCCGGAAUCAUUGGGCGUAAAGGGUGCGUAGGUGGCGCCGUAAGUCGGGUGUGAAAUUUCGGAGCUUAACUCCGAAACUGCAUUCGAUACUGCGGUGCUUGGGGACUGGAGAGGAGACUGGAAUUCAUGGUGUAGCAGUGAAAUGCGUAGAGAUCAUGAGGAAGACCAGUGGCGAAGGCGGGUCUCUGGACAGUUCCUGACACUGAGGCACGAAGGCCAGGGGAGCAAACGGG
rnacentral:rRNA from 1 species